GAGUUUGAUCCUGGCUCAAGAGUAAGUCGUAAGCAAGGUGACCAAAAAAUUGGGAUCACUCCGGGAAACCGGGGCUAAUACCGGAUAAAAUUUUGAACCGCAUGGUUCGAAAUUGAAAGGCGGCUUCGGCUGUCACUUAUGGAUGGACCCGCGUCGCAUUAGCUAGUUGGUGAGGUAACGGCUCACCAAGGCAACGAUGCGUAGCCGACCUGAGAGGGUGAUCGGCCACACUGGGACUGAGACACGGCCCAGACUCCUACGGGAGGCAGCAGUAGGGAAUCUUCCGCAAUGGACGAAAGUCUGACGGAGCAACGCCGCGUGAGUGAUGAAGGCUUUCGGGUCGUAAAACUCUGUUGUUAGGGAAGAACAAGUGCUAGUUGAAUAAGCUGGCACCUUGACGGUACCUAACCAGAAAGCCACGGCUAACUACGUGCCAGCAGCCGCGGUAAUACGUAGGUGGCAAGCGUUAUCCGGAAUUAUUGGGCGUAAAGCGCGCGCAGGUGGUUUCUUAAGUCUGAUGUGAAAGCCCACGGCUCAACCGUGGAGGGUCAUUGGAAACUGGGAGACUUGAGUGCAGAAGAGGAAAGUGGAAUUCCAUGUGUAGCGGUGAAAUGCGUAGAGAUAUGGAGGAACACCAGUGGCGAAGGCGACUUUCUGGUCUGUA
rnacentral:rRNA from 1 species